rnacentral:rRNA from 1 species
GAUGAACGCUGGCGGCGUGCUUAACACAUGCAAGUCGAACGAUGAAGCCCAGCUUGCUGGGUGGAUUAGUGGCGAACGGGUGAGUAACACGUGAGUAACCUGCCCUUGACUCUGGGAUAAGCCCGGGAAACUGGGUCUAAUACCGGAUAGGAGCGCCUGUCGCAUGACGGGUGUUGGAAAGAUUUUUCGGUCAUGGAUGGACUCGCGGCCUAUCAGCUUGUUGGUGAGGUAAUGGCUCACCAAGGCGACGACGGAUAGCCGGCCUGAGAGGGGGACCGGCCACACUGGGACUGAGACACGGCCCAGACUCCUACGGGAGGCAGCAGUGGGGAAUAUUGCACAAUGGGCGGAAGCCUGAUGCAGCGGCGCCGCGUGAGGGAUGACGGCCUUCGGGUUGUAAACCUCUUUCAGUAGGGAAGAAGCGAAAGUGACGGUACCUGCAGAAGAAGCACCGGCUAACUACGUG